ACAGUGAUCUGGGAGGGUUAGGCACAGACGUGAACGACUAACGUUACGUAACAUUUCUAAUCUGAUUGGCGACUGGUUAUGCUGAAAAUGAUCAGAAGAAACUGGAAUAUUCGUAAAAUGACGUACGAGGCGCAGCCACGUUUAUAACACUUCGUCAAAGCGAAACUAAUAGUUCAGGACGUUGCACGGAUAUGUUGCGGACGAUAUUCGGCAAGAAUGGGACCGAGACUCCAGAGCCAGUCAAAGCAGACAUUGAAGGCUCUGUCCCUGACUGGUUACAAGGGACCCUGUUGCGGAAUGGCCCCGGCCUUUUCUCUCUUGGAGACAGAACAUACAACCACUGGUUUGAUGGGAUGGCACUGAUCCACAGUUAUACAUUCAAAGAUGGUGAAGUUUUCUACCGGAGUAAGUUCCUCCGCAGUAAGACAUACAAAAAGAAUACCACAGCCAACAGGAUUGUUGUGUCUGAAUUUGGGACCAUGAUCUACCCAGAUCCCUGCCAAAACAUCUUCUCAAGAAUGUUCACACAUCUGUGUAAUGCAAUUCCUGACUUCACAGACAAUAAUCUCAUAAACAUCAUAAGGUAUGGAAAGGAUUACUAUGCCUCAGCUGAAGUAAACUACAUCAAUCAGAUUGACCCCGAGACCCUGGACACAGUGGGGAGGGCUAAUUACAGAAACUACAUCGCUCUGAACCUUGCAACUGCCCACCCUCACUAUGAUGAGCAUGGAAACACCUACAACAUGGGCACGUCUAUCAUGAGUUUCGGAGGUCCAAAAUACGUCAUCUUCAUGGUCCCCUCUAAUACCUCAGGUAAGGAGGGGCAUCUGGCCCUGGAAAACAUGAAGCAGGUGUGCUCCGUGCCCUGCCGCUCCAGCCUGUUCCCCAGUUACUUCCACAGUUUCGGCAUGACCGAGAACUACAUCAUCUUUGUCGAGCAGCCAUUCAAACUGGACCUGCUCAGACUGGCCACCGCCUACUUCCGAGGGAUCAACUGGGGCACCUGCCUCAAGUUUGACCAAGAGGACGAGACAGUAAUCCACCUGAUCAACAGAACUACUGGCAAGGCCGUUUCCACCAAGUUCUAUACGGAUGCAUUGGUAAUUUUCCACCACAUCAACGCUUACGAGGAGGAAGGCCAUGUGGUCUUUGACAUGAUCACGUACAAAGACAGCAACCUGUAUGACAUGUUCUACCUGGACAACAUGGCACGUGAAUCCGAGGAUUUCACCAAAACCCAGGAGAAAUGGUCUCCGCCAGUGUGCCAGAGAUUCGUCCUUCCCCUUGACAUUGAAAAAGACACGCCAGUGGACUCUAACUUGGUGAAACUCAGAGACACAACUGCCACAGCUGUGCUGCAGAAGGACAAAUCAGUCUACUGCCAGCCAGACACAUUAUUAGUCGGCCUGGAGUUACCUGGGAUUAAUUACAAAUUUAACAGCAGAAAGUAUCGUUACUUUUAUGGCUCAAGGGUAGAGUGGUCACCACACCCAAAUAAGAUUGGAAAAUUGGACAUUGUGACAAGGAAGUGCGUGGAGUGGACUGAGGAGGAGUGUUAUCCCUCUGAGCCUGUCUUUGUGGCUUCACCAGGCGCUGUGGAGGAAGACGACGGUGAGGAAAAACACACGCCCGCCCUGCCCCCCACAAACCCCAACUGUAGCUUUUCAUCAGUUUACACCUGCAAGCAACUACACAUUGAUUUGUAAGGGACACUAGAGAAGAAACUCAUCUAUGCUGAGGGGCAAAAAAACAACCUCAACCAGAAAACAAUUAGUAAAUGCAAUAGCUGUACAGUACAUACAGAUUAUUUAUUUGCUAUUUCAUGGUUGAAGAUCAGGACUCAGGCCAUACGGUGUCAUCCUGUCCUCCGUGGUCUCACUCAAUCCGGAGAAGCCCCCCUUCAUGUUGGUGCUCGAUGCAAAGAGCUUCACCGAGCUGGCGCGAGCCUCCAUCAGCUCCACCGUACACAUGGACCUUCACGGGCUCUUUGU